rnacentral:rRNA from 1 species
GAGUUUGAUCGUGGCUCAGGACGAACGCUGGCGGCGUGCUUAACACAUGCAAGUCGAACGGAGCGCCUAUGAUAGAGACUUCGGUCAAUGGAUUGGGUUGCUUAGUGGCGGACUGGUGAGUAACGCGUGAGGAACCUGCCUUUCAGAGGGGGACAACAGUUGGAAACGACUGCUAAUACCGCAUGACACAUUUGGGCGGCAUCGCUUGAAUGUCAAAGAUUUUAUCGCUGAAAGAUGGCCUCGCGUCUGAUUAGAUAGUUGGCGGGGUAACGGCCCACCAAGUCGACGAUCAGUAGCCGGACUGAGAGGUUGACCGGCCACAUUGGGACUGAGAUACGGCCCAGACUCCUACGGGAGGCAGCAGUGGGGAAUAUUGGGCAAUGGACGCAAGUCUGACCCAGCAACGC